CCUACGGGAGGCAGCAGUAGGGAAUCUUUCACAAUGGGCGAAAGCCUGAUGGAGCAACGCCGCGUGCAGGAUGAAGGCCUUCGGGUUGUAAACUGCUUUUAUAAGCGAGAAAUAUGAUGGUAACUUAUGAAUAAGGAUCGGCUAACUAAGUGCCAGCAGCCGCGGUCAUACGUAGGAUCCGAGCAUUAUCCGGAGUGACUGGGUGUAAAGAGUUGCGUAGGUGGCAUAAUAAUUAGCUAGUGAAAUCUGGUGGCUCAACCAUUCAGACUAUUAGCUAAACUGUUAAGCUCGAGACCGGUAGGGGUAACUGGAAUUUUUAGUGUAGGAGUGAAAUCCGUAGAGAUUAGAAGGAACACCAAUAGCGUAGGCAGGUUGCUGGGACGGUUCUGACACUAAGGCACGAAAGCGUAGGGAGCAAACGGGAUUAGAUACCCUAGUAGUC
rnacentral:rRNA from 1 species